GACGAACGCUGGCGGCGUGCUUAACACAUGCCAGUCGAACGGAAAGGCCCUGCUUUUGUGGGGUGCUCGAGUGGCGAACGGGUGAGUAACACGUGAGUAACCUGCCCUUGACUUUGGGAUAACUUCAGGAAACUGGGGCUAAUACCGGAUAGGAGCUCCUGCUGCAUGGUGGGGGUUGGAAAGUUUCGGCGGUUGGGGAUGGACUCGCGGCUUAUCAGCUUGUUGGUGGGGUAGUGGCUUACCAAGGCUUUGACGGGUAGCCGGCCUGAGAGGGUGACCGGCCACAUUGGGACUGAGAUACGGCCCAGACGCCUACGGGAGGCAGCAGUGGGGAAUAUUGCACAAUGGGCGGAAGCCUGAUGCAGCAACGCCGCGUGCGGGAUGACGGCCUUCGGGUGGUAAACCGCUUUCGCCUGUGACGAAGCGUGAGUGACGGUAAUGGGUAAAGAAGCACCGGCUAACUACGUG
rnacentral:rRNA from 1 species